GGUCGAUAAGACGAGAGCGUAACAUUUUGACCUUACCGAAAAAGAGGUACUAAAAAGCGGAAGACAUUCAAAUAUGAAGCAACAUACAGAAAACUUAUGCGUUAUCCCAAGGGUUCCUUUGACAUACAGAGUAUAUGGCAUUCUUCCGUUAUGAAGUAUCGAAUUCAACGUACCAAUUACGACCGGACGUGCCUGUGAAUUUAACAUAUGCACAACCUUUAAGACAAUCUACUUCCGCAAAAGUUAAACAUGUUCCAACGGACAGAAGAACUACAGGGAUGUUCAAAAUUAUCUUGGUCAAUCCUUAUGAUUGAACUAAUUUGAAAUUGAAUCUUCUGAAUAAUAUAUUUUUAAUGUUUCAUUAACAAAGGAGUAAUUCAAGUUGGUGAACACAAUAGCAAAUUUAUUUAAUAAAAAUAACAGCAAUAAAAUAAUAACAAAUAUUUGCAAUUGGAUAUUAAAAUAUGAACGAUGACAAAAAUACUGAAAGAAAGAACAAUAUUAACAAAUAUUGAUAUAAAACAAUGGUUAAAAAAUUGUCUUCAUAAACAAUAGCACGUGCAUUUUUCUCGUGCAGUUACGUCAGGUGACCAUGUAUAAAGUGAAUCACAAGUAAUAAAUAAACGAAAAAUAUGAGUGUGUCUUACCUGAGUUAUACAUGUUAUAACCAACAAAAGUAUUAAAAGUCUUAAAACAUUUUUAAAUAUUAAAAUAAUAUGCCCUAGCAAGAUACAUAAACAAUCAACCUUUAGAAAAACAAUAAC
rnacentral:lncRNA from 1 species